rnacentral:rRNA from 2 species
AAUCCACGUGUAGCGGUGAAAUGCGUAGAGAUGUGGAGGAACACCAGUGGCGAAGGCGACUCUCUGGUCUGUAACUGACGCUGAGGAGCGAAAGCGUGGGGAGCGAACAGGAUUAGAUACCCUGGUAGUCCACGCCGUAAACGAUGAGUGCUAAGUGUUAGGGGGUUUCCGCCCCUUAGUGCUGCAGCUAACGCAUUAAGCACUCCGCCUGGGGAGUACGGUCGCAAGACUGAAACUCAAAGGAAUUGACGGGGGCCCGCACAAGCGGUGGAGCAUGUGGUUUAAUUCGAAGCAACGCGAAGAACCUUACCAGGUCUUGACAUCCUCUGACAAUCCUAGAGAUAGGACGUCCCCUUCGGGGGCACAGUGACAGGUGGUGCAUGGUUGUCGUCAGCUCGUGUCGUGAGAUGUUGGGUUAAGUCCCGCAACGAGCGCAACCCUUGAUCUUAGUUGCCAGCAUUCAGUUGGGCACUCUAAGGUGACUGCCGGUGACAAACCGGAGGAAGGUGGGGAUGACAUC